AUUGAACGCUUGCGGCAUGCCUUACACAUGCAAGUCGAACGGCAGCAUGAUCUAGCUUGCUAGAUUGAUGGCGAGUGGCGAACGGGUGAGUAAUACAUCGGAACGUGCCCUGUAGUGGGGGAUAACUAGUCGAAAGAUUAGCUAAUACCGCAUACGACCUGAGGGUGAAAGUGGGGGACCGCAAGGCCUCAUGCUAUAGGAGCGGCCGAUGUCUGAUUAGCUAGUUGGUGAGGUAAAGGCUCACCAAGGCGACGAUCAGUAGCUGGUCUGAGAGGACGAUCAGCCACACUGGGACUGAGACACGGCCCAGCCUCCUACGGGAGGCAGCAGUGGGGAAUUUUGGACAAUGGGGGCAACCCUGAUCCAGCAAUGCCGCGUGUGUGAAGAAGGCCUUCGGGUUGUAAAGCACUUUUGUCCGGAAAGAAAUCGCACUUACUAAUAUUAGGUGUGGAUGACGGUACCGGAAGAAUAAGGACCGGCUAACUACGUGCCAGCAGCCGCGGUAAUACGUAGGGUCCAAGCGUUAAUCGAAAUUACUGGGCGUAAAGCGUGCGCAGGCGGUUGUGCAAGACCGAUGUGAAAUCCCCGGGCUUAACCUGGGAAUUGCAUUGGUGACUGCACGGCUAGAGUGUGUCAGAGGGGGGUAGAAUUCCACGUGUAGCAGUGAAAUGCGUAGAGAUGUGGAGGAAUACCGAUGGCGAAGGCAGCCCCCUGGGAUAACACUGACGCUCAUGCACGAAAGCGUGGGGAGCAAACAGGAUUAGAUACCCUGGUAGUCCACGCCCUAAACGAUGUCAACUAGUUGUUGGGGAUUCAUUUCCUUAGUAACGUAGCUAACGCGUGAAGUUGACCGCCUGGGGAGUACGGUCGCAAGAUUAAAACUCAAAGGAAUUGACGGGGACCCGCACAAGCGGUGGAUGAUGUGGAUUAAUUCGAUGCAACGCGAAAAACCUUACCUACCCUUGACAUGCCACUAACGAAGCAGAGAUGCAUUAGGUGCUCGAAAGAGAAAGUGGACACAGGUGCUGCAUGGCUGUCGUCAGCUCGUGUCGUGAGAUGUUGGGUUAAGUCCCGCAACGAGCGCAACCCUUGUCUCUAGUUGCUACGAAAGGGCACUCUAGAGAGACUGCCGGUGACAAACCGGAGGAAGGUGGGGAUGACGUCAAGUCCUCAUGGCCCUUAUGGGUAGGGCUUCACACGUCAUACAAUGGUGCAUACAGAGGGUUGCCAAGCCGCGAGGUGGAGCUAAUCCCAGAAAAUGCAUCGUAGUCCGGAUCGUAGUCUGCAACUCGACUACGUGAAGCUGGAAUCGCUAGUAAUCGCGGAUCAGCAUGCCGCGGUGAAUACGUUCCCGGGUCU
rnacentral:rRNA from 1 species